CAGUCGCCGCGGGAAUACGUAGGUGGCAAGCGUUGUCCGGAAUUAUUGGGCGUAAAGGGCUCGCAGGCGGUUUCUUAAGUCUGAUGUGAAAGCCCCCGGCUCGACCGGGGAGGGUCAUUGGAAACUGGGAAACUUGAGUGCAGAAGAGGAGAGUGGAAUUCCACGUGUAGCGGUGAAAUGCGUAGAGAUGUGGAGGAACACCAGUGGCGAAGGCGACUCUCUGGUCUGUAACUGACGCUGAGGAGCGAAAGCGUGGGGAGCGAACAGGAUUAGAUACCCCAGUAGUCCCUGUCUCUUAUAA
rnacentral:rRNA from 1 species